AGUUCCAAUAGCUGUGAAACAUAAAGAGACAAGCAGGGGAAGAUUUUCCAGAAAGGCUGGUGGCUAGGCACAAGCAAAUUACACCAUUAAUGUCAUCCUGGCGAAUGAAACAAGAGAAUAGUAUUUAUCAGAGAAAGUCUGGUGAGUUGAAGUCCAAGACCCCAGGAAACAACUAGCCCUGCUGGGCUGCCCCUCCUUCGGAGUGGGACUAUAUGAUCCUCAUCAGGCCAAUCCACGUCACAGAAUGGUCUAGGCAUUGGAUGAGUGCCUCAAUCUGAGCCAAUGAAGGUCAUUGCUGAGACAUUUUACUGGUUGCCAGGCUGCAGGCAUCCCAGGCUUCCUGCUGCCCUCAUGUCUACAACCUGUCGUCUGGAACAUUCCAGGAGCCACUUUUAUCACUUGCAGCAAUCUUCUUCAGUGAGUUCCCCAGGACUUGAUUUCAUCUUACAAUCUGAUUCCAUGUGUCUCCCAUAUUUUAAGGAUUCUUUAUUAUUUCUGGCUUACAGAGAACA
rnacentral:lncRNA from 1 species